GGGGCAGCAUGGUCUUAGCUUGCUAAGGCUGAUGGCGACCGGCGCACGGGUGAGUAACACGUAUCCAACCUGCCGUCUACUCUUGGCCAGCCUUCUGAAAGGAAGAUUAAUCCAGGAUGGGAUCAUGAGUUCACAUGUCCGCAUGAUUAAAGGUAUUUUCCGGUAGACGAUGGGGAUGCGUUCCAUUAGAUAGUAGGCGGGGUAACGGCCCACCUAGUCAACGAUGGAUAGGGGUUCUGAGAGGAAGGUCCCCCACAUUGGAACUGAGACACGGUCCAAACUCCUACGGGAGGCAGCAGUGAGGAAUAUUGGUCAAUGGGCGAUGGCCUGAACCAGCCAAGUAGCGUGAAGGAUGACUGCCCUAUGGGUUGUAAACUUCUUUUAUAAAGGAAUAAAGUCGGGUAUGCAUACCCGUUUGCAUGUACUUUAUGAAUAAGGAUCGGCUAACUCCGUGCCAGCAGCCGCGGUAAUACGGAGGAUCCGAGCGUUAUCCGGAUUUAUUGGGUUUAAAGGGAGCGUAGAUGGAUGUUUAAGUCAGUUGUGAAAGUUUGCGGCUCAACCGUAAAAUUGCAGUUGAUACUGGAUGUCUUGAGUGCAGUUGAGGCAGGCGGAAUUCGUGGUGUAGCGGUGAAAUGCUUAGAUAUCACGAAGAACUCCGAUUGCGAAGGCAGCCUGCUAAGCUGCAACUG
rnacentral:rRNA from 1 species